AGUAGAUUGGGAAACUCUUCAAAUCAUAAUGAAAUACCGAGACAAGCUUAGUCAUCCAAUGGCGGGCCCCAACCUCUUCGGAGGUGCUUUAAUGCCAGGCGGAUUACAAAGGAAGGCGAGCACUCAAAACCUGUCUAUUCGGAGUUUCAUCGCAUCCUUUGGUGUGGGAUU
rnacentral:sRNA from 1 species